ACUCCUACGGGAGGCUGCAGUGGGGAAUAUUGCGCAAUGGGGGGAACCCUGACGCAGCCAUGCCGCGUGAAUGAAGAAGGCCUUCGGGUUGUAAAGUUCUUUCGGUAUUGAGGAAGGUUGAUGUGUUAAUAGCACAUCAAAUUGACGUUAAAUACAGAAGAAGCACCGGCUAACUCCGUGCCAGCAGCCGCGGUAAUACGGAGGGUGCGAGCGUUAAUCGGAAUAACUGGGCGUAAAGGGCACGCAGGCGGUUAUUUAAGUGAGGUGUGAAAGCCCUGGGCUUAACCUAGGAAUUGCAUUUCAGACUGGGUAACUAGAGUACUUUAGGGAGGGGUAGAAUUCCACGUGUAGCGGUGAAAUGCGUAGAGAUGUGGAGGAAUACCGAAGGCGAAGGCAGCCCCUUGRGAAUGUACUGACGCUCAUGUGCGAAAGCGUGGGGAGCAAACAGGAUUAGAUACCCUGGUAGUCCACGCCGUAAACGCUGUCGAUUUGGGGGUUGGGGUUUAACUCUGGCGCCCGUAGCUAACGUCAUAAAUCGACCGCCUGGGGAGUACGGCCGCAAGGUUAAAACUCAAAUGAAUUGACGGGGGCCCGCACAAGCAGUGGAGCAUGUGGUUUAAUUCGAUGCAACGCGAAGAACCUUACCUACUCUUGACAUCCUAAGAAGAGCUCACAGAUGAGCUUGUGCCUUCGGGAACUUAGAGACAGGUGAUGCAUGGAUGUCGUCAGCUCGUG
rnacentral:rRNA from 1 species